rnacentral:rRNA from 1 species
GACGAACGCUGGCGGCGUGCUUAACACAUGCAAGUCGAACGCUGAAGACCUGGCUUUUGUUGGGUUGGAUGAGUGGCGAACGGGUGAGUAACACGUGAGUAACCUGCCCUCUUCUUUGGGAUAACGCCCGGAAACGGGUGCUAAUACUGGAUAUUCACUGAUCUUCGCAUGGGGGUUGGUGGAAAGGUUUGUUCUGGUGGGGGAUGGGCUCGCGGCCUAUCAGCUUGUUGGUGGGGUGAUGGCCUACCAAGGCUUUGACGGGUAGCCGGCCUGAGAGGGUGACCGGUCACAUUGGGACUGAGAUACGGCCCAGACUCGUACGGGAGGCAGCAGUGGGGGAUAUUGCACAAUGGGCGAAAGCCUGAUGCAGCGACGCCGCGUGAGGGAUGGAGGCCUUCGGGUUGUAAACCUCUUUCGCUCAUGGUCAAGCCGCAACUGUGGGUUGUGGUGAGGGUAGUGGGUAAAGAAGCGCCGGCUAACUACGUG